CCUACGGGAGGCAGCAGUGAGGAAUAUUGGUCAAUGGGCGCGAGCCUGAACCAGCCAAGUAGCGUGAAGGAUGACUGCCCUACGGGUUGUAAACUUCUUUUAUAAAGGAAUAAAGUGAGGCACGUGUGCCUUUUUGUAUGUACUUUAUGAAUAAGGAUCGGCUAACUCCGUGCCAGCAGCCGCGGUAAUACGGGGGAUCCGAGCGUUAUCCGGAUUUAUUGGGUUUAAGGGGUGCGUAGAUGGGUGGUUAAGUCAGGGGUGAAAGUUUGCGGCUCAACCGUAGAAUUGCAAUUGAUACUGGCAGCCUGGAGUACAGGUGAGGUGGGCGGAAUUCGUGGUGUAGCGGUGAAAUGCUUAGAUAUCA
rnacentral:rRNA from 1 species